GCCCUGGUAGCUCAGUGGAUAGAGCGUUCGGUUGCGGUCCGAAAGGUCGUAGGUUCAAUUCCUGCUCAGGGCA
rnacentral:tRNA from 1 species